GUGAGAUGUAUGAUGGGAAACUAUCUCCUGCGGUUCGGAGAGGACUCAACUGUUAGUUAGUACCCCUUUGGUUUUGGGGUGGACCUUUUCACUCUAU
rfam:Capsicum annuum cultivar Zunla-1 chromosome 2, whole genome shotgun sequence